GCUUUUAAUAUUAUUAUUAUUAUUUAUUCUAUUAGGUACUUCGGUGAUAGAUUUGCUGAAUCAGCGGGCACUCGACUGAGACAACGUGAAGUGUUGCAUAUCUUCUCUGACGUUGCUAAGGCCGUUGCUAGGCUACACCAUCGGACAAAACCCAUCAUACAUCGCGACCUCAAGAUUGAGAACAUACUCCAUGACUCUGUGCACGACACAUACAUGCUCUGUGACUAUGGAAACUGUUCACUCAAGAGCAUGCACCCUGAGGCUACCUGUUGACCUCUGACCCUGAGCUGUGUCCCAGUAUCUGGCAAGUGUGUGAGGUGGUGUCCAGGAUCACAGGAACCACCAACCAUGUCACUAAUGUCUUUGUGAGUACCUUACUAUUAGUAUACCCUGUG